UUAAGUUCAGCGGGUAUUCCUACCUGAUCCGAGGUCAACACUUGUAAUAAGUUUAUGUAUAAAGACCGUCGCCCGCAGAGUCGUCCCGCGUACAUGCUCGGUUAAAAGCUCCUCGUACCGGUUCCCUCUGGGACGCCAUCACUAUCUUUGAGGCCGGCAGUUUGGGUAAAACCACCUGGAGCCCAACACCAAGCCGGAGC
rnacentral:misc_RNA from 1 species